UCAAGUGGAGAGAUUUGGCUGCUUGCAACCACUUAAAACAAUGCUAAAAUCGCA
rnacentral:ncRNA from 1 species